AGUGAACGCUGGCGGCAGGCCUAACACAUGCAAGUCGAGCGGCUGAAGAGAGCUUGCUCCUGGAUUCAGCGGCGGACGGGUGAGUAAUGCCUAGGAAUCUGCCUGGUUGUUGGGGAUAACGUCCGGAAACGGGCGCUAAUACCCCAUACCCCCUGAGGGCGUAAGUGGGGGAUCUUCGGACCUCACGCUAUCAGGUGAGCCUAGGUCGGAUUAGCUAGUUGGUGGGGUAAAGGCCUACCAAGGCGACGAUCCGUAACUGGUCUGAGAGGAUGAUCAGUCACACUGGAACUGAGACACGGUCCAGACUCCUACGGGAGGCAGCAGUGGGGAAUAUUGGACAAUGGGCGCAAGCCUGAUCCAGCCAUGCCGCGUGUGUGAAGAAGGUCUUCGGAUUGUAAAGCACUUUAAGUUGGGAGGAAGGGCAGUAAGUUAAUACCUUGCUGUUUUGACGUUACCAACAGAAUAAGCACCGGCUAACUUCGUG
rnacentral:rRNA from 1 species